rnacentral:snRNA from 1 species
CUUGCUUCAUCAGCAACAUAAGUUGAAAUUAGAAUGAUACAGAGAAGAUUAGCAUGGCCCCAAAUUUACAAAGCAUUCCAUAUUUUU